rnacentral:rRNA from 1 species
CCUACGGGAGGCAGCAGUGGGGAAUAUUGGACAAUGGGGGGAACCCUGAUCCAGCCAUGCCGCGUGUGUGAAGAAGGCCCUCGGGUUGUAAAGCACUUUCAGUGAGGAAGAACGCCUGGUGGUUAAUACCCAUCAGGAAAGACAUCACUCACAGAAGAAGCACCGGCUAACUCCGUGCCAGCAGCCGCGGGAAUACGGAGGGUGCGAGCGUUAAUCGGAAUUACUGGGCGUAAAGCGCGCGUAGGUGGCUUGAUAAGCCGGUUGUGAAAGCCCCGGGCUCAACCUGGGAACGGCAUCCGGAACUGUCAAGCUAGAGUGCAGGAGAGGAAGGUAGAAUUCCCGGUGUAGCGGUGAAAUGCGUAGAGAUCGGGAGGAAUACCAGUGGCGAAGGCGGCCUUCUGGACUGACACUGACACUGAGGUGCGAAAGCGUGGGUAGCAAACAGGAUUAGAUACCCGGGUAGUC